AACGCAUCGUAAUAUAACUUUCAGCAACGGAUCUCUUGGCUCUCGCAUCGAUGAANAACGCAGCGAAAUGCGAUAAGUAAUGUGAAUUGCAGAAUUCAGUGAAUCAUCGAAUCUUUGAACGCACCUUGCGCUCCUUGGCAUUCCGAGGUAGCAUGCCUGUUUGAGUGUCAUG
rnacentral:rRNA from 1 species